GUGGGUGUGGCUCAGUGGUAGAGAGCUUGCCCAGCAUUCAGGAGAACCUGGGUUCCAUUCCCAGCACCAGCA
rnacentral:tRNA from 1 species